rnacentral:rRNA from 1 species
CGCCUCUUGCAAAACUAAGGAAUAAGAGGUCCCGCCUGCCCUGUGACUAUAAGUUUAACGGCCGCGGUAUUUUGACCGUGCGAAGGUAGCGCAAUCACUUGUCUUUUAAAUGAAGACCUGUAUGAAUGGCACCACGAGGGCUUAGCUGUCUCCUUUUUCAGGUCAAUGAAAUUGAUCUCCCCGUGCAGAAGCGGGGAUAUAUACAUAAGACGAGAAGACCCUAUGGAGCUCUAGACGCCAAGACAGAUCAUGUUAAACACCCCUAGAUAAAGGGUUAAACCAAAUGAGCCCUGUCCUAAUGUCUUUGGUUGGGGCGACCGCGGGGAAACAUAAAACCCCCACGUGGAAUGGGAGUACCACCUCCUACAACUAAGAGCUCCCGCUCUAACAAACAGAAAUUCUGACCAAUAAGAUCCGGCAACGCCGAUCAACGGACCGAGUUACCCUAGGGAUAACAGCGCAAUCCCCUUUUAGAGCCCAUAUCGACAAGGGGGUUUACGACCUCGAUGUUGGAUCAGGACAUCCUAAUGGUGCAGCCGCUAUUAAGGGUUCGUUUGUUCAACGAUUAAAGUCCUACGUGAUCUGAGUUCAGACCGGAGAAAUCCAGGUCAGUUUCUAUCUAUGAUAUGAUCUUUUCUAGUACGAAAGGACCGAAAAGAAGAGGCCUAUACUUAAGGUACGCCUCACCCCCACCUAAUGAAAACAACUAAAAUAGGCAAAAGGGCAUACCCCUGUGCCUGAGAAAAUGGCAU